rnacentral:rRNA from 1 species
GACGAACGCUGGCGGCGUGCUUAACACAUGCAAGUCGAGCGGUAAGGCCCUUUCGGGGGUACACGAGCGGCGAACGGGUGAGUAACACGUGGGUGACCUGCCCUCAGCUCUGGGAUAAGCCUGGGAAACUGGGUCUAAUACUGGAUAUGACUCCACGGUGCAUGUCGUGGGGUGGAAAGCCUUGUGCGGCUGAGGAUGGGCCCGCGGCCUAUCAGCUUGUUGGUGGGGUGAUGGCCUACCAAGGCGACGACGGGUAGCCGGCCUGAGAGGGCGACCGGCCACACUGGGACUGAGACACGGCCCAGACUCCUACGGGAGGCAGCAGUGGGGAAUCUUGCGCAAUGGGCGAAAGCCUGACGCAGCGACGCCGCGUGAGGGAUGACGGCCU